rnacentral:lncRNA from 1 species
ACAGUUGUAGGGUGGAGGUCAUCACGUAGAGAUUCCUUUGACAGUGUGACCGUGGCCCGGGACGGAGCGCCCCACAGCUUCCGGCUGGAGAAUGACACGCGCUUCCCCAGGUUCUCCCGACUGCGCCCAACAAACCCGAGGUAACAGCUGAAGAAUGACGACACCAAAAUCAACCCUACAGAUUUUCAUUCUGGAGGUCUGCAACACCAAAUAAACUUUUAUGUCUCCGGAGACAGUGGAGUUAGAAAACAAAUAAAACACCCAGAUGGGG